UUUAAAGAUCUCACUUUUUUUUUUCCAAUUAAAGAGCAAAUUGUCACAGACUUCCAUGAGUGUAUCAUGCUCAAGAUUGCUGUUAAAAUACAGGAACACCUGGGCUGGAGAGAUGGCUCAGUGGUUAAGAGCACUGGCUGCUCUUCCAGAAGUCUUGAGUUCAAUUCCCAGCAACCACAUGGUGGCUCACAGCCAUCUGUAAUGGGAUCUGAUGCCCUCUUCUGGUGUGCAGGUGUACAUGCAGAUAGAGUACUCAUACAUCUUUUUAAAAUGCAGGAACACAGCCGAGCAGUGGUGGUGCACAUCUUUAAUCCCAGCCCUUGGGAGGCAGAGGCAGGUGGAUUUCUGAGUUCGAGGCCAGCCUGGUCUACAGAGUGAGUUCCAGGACAGCCAGGGCUACACAGAGAGCCAGGCUACACAGAGAGCCCUGUCUUGAAAAACAAAAGAAACAAAAAAUGCAGGAACACCCUUCCCAAAGCCUGAGGCCCCUUUCUGUGACUGUAAAAGGAGUCCUGAAAUUCCACCUUCCAGGAAGAUGAAGGUAACCCCUGAGCCCUGUGUGAUGUGGGUCACCCAUGCAUAGAGCCAAAUCCAGGCAAAUUGACCGUAAGGAUUAACCACCAAAGGUGCCUUUAUAUGUAAGAAGGUCAUAGUAGGUCUUUGAUCUCUUCUCCUUGCUUCUCUGUGGAGCUUAGGAACCCUGUAGAGUCUGGCUCGGGGACAGAGUUCCAUUCCUGGGCACAGCCAGAGCUAUCAUUCUCUGCUGCCCCACCCAACCUAGGAAAUGCACCAUCCAGCCUCACAAAGAAGAAACCAAAGAAACAGGAAAUAAAGGGUUUGCCAUCCUUUGGAAGGGAGCGAUAUCUACCAAGUGUCCUUGAGUCCAAAGCCUCUGGCAGGACCCUCGUCCCAGCCUAUGAUGGGAGCCACACUAGUAUGUCUGAAAAUGUAGAAUCCUAGGCAUGUGGAGCAUGCCUUUAAUCCCCGUACUUGGGAGGCAGAGGCAACUGGGUGUGUGAGAGUUCGAGACCAGCCUGAUCUACAUGAUGAGUUCCAGGACAGCCAGGGCUACAUAUUGAGACCUUGUCUUAAAAAAAGAGAAAGAAAGAAAGAGAGAGAGAGAGAGAGAGAGAGAGAAGGAAGGAAGAAAAUGAAAAUGAAAAAAGAAAAAGAAAAAAAGAAAGAGAAAAAGAAAGGAGAACUCCAAAAUCAAGGAAGCAGCCAGCAGAGAGCUUUCACAGAAAGCCCAGGUCUUUCUGGCUGCCCCAAGCCCCUCUCUUCUUAUAAGUCAUUCUGAAGUUAGGGCAAGCCUUGGGUAAUGAGAAGCCCGCCUCUUUUCCCAUUGAAGUUCAUUGGCUGGUGAGAAGAAAGAGGAGGGAUCUCUUUAGGGUUGUGUAGGUUGGGUGAUAGAGGUUGGGAGACCAGGUGAUGUCUCAAUUAUUUACAUUCUAGUCAAGCAUCCCAAGAACAUUGUAACUAUUCAUCAAACAAAAUCCAGUGAGCCCUCUGGGUACCACAAGGUAAAGACCAGACGUGGAGAAAAGGGACAGAGAGGAGAAAACUUGGAGAAGCAGAGCCAUGAGAUUGAAGCACAGACCUUUGGGGAAAUGUCCCAUCUGGUAACUGCUUAUCAUGUUCUCGCUUAAGAAACAAAGCCAUGUUGUAUUUGCCUUCAACACUUUCAAAGAUGGAGAGAUGCAGCUAAGCUGGGUCCUGAAUUACUGUCAACUUGAUAGUAAAAUAUUGUAUUACAGCUUCCCAGAGAGAUUGGCAGUGGUAUGUGUAUGUGUGUGUGUGUGUGUGGGGGGGUAAUCCUUGCAAAUCCAGAAGAAAAAAAAUUCCUAUCUUUCCCAGCCACAGGGACUAAACAUUGGAGGUAAAAAUGUCCAUUCCCUGCCAAGAAGGCCAGAUUUGCUAACCUUUCAUCGGUGAUUAAAUAUGUAAACAGGUCCUGGGCAAGCCCUUGGCAAAUCAUUAAUGAGAGAAAGCCUUCCUCUCGUGACAGGCCCGGCCCAUUUAUCAACCUCCACACCCAUUCCCAGCCCUGUUUGGUGGCCACAGGACACAGGGCUCUCUACCUUGACAAAGUCUCUGCUCCUUAGGCACCUGCUACACUUUGAUAACAAUAAUAAAAUGUACAUAGUUCGC
rnacentral:lncRNA from 1 species